rfam:Populus trichocarpa isolate Nisqually-1 chromosome 5, whole genome shotgun sequence.
UAAUCUAUUCGGGGCAGAUUCUUAUUUAGUUGUGGCAGACCCAUACCUGACUACGCAUAAUUACCCGUUAUCGCAAACUCAACUACAUCAGUUUGUUUGCAUGAUUAAGUGUUGCUUCAUGAUUACAUCCAAGAUGAGUAA